rnacentral:rRNA from 1 species
GUGGGGAAUCUUGCACAAUGGGCGAAAGCCUGAUGCAGCGACGCCGCGUGUGUGAUGAAGGUCUUCGGAUCGUAAAGCACUUUCGGCCGGGAAGAAUAAGCCCGUGGCUAAUAUCCAUGGGCCCUGACGGUACCGGCAGAAGAAGCAACGGCUAACUCUGUGCCAGCAGCCGCGGUAAUACAGAGGUUGCGAGCGUUGUUCGGAAUUAUUGGGCGUAAAGCGCGUGUAGGCGGGAUUGCAAGUCGGGUGUGAAAGCCCUCGGCUCAACCGAGGAAGUGCGCCCGAAACUACAGUUCUUGAGUGCCGGAGAGGGUGGCGGAAUUCCCGGUGUAGAGGUGAAAUUCGUAGAUAUCGGGAGGAACACCAGUGGCGAAGGCGGCCACCUGGACGGACACUGACGCUGAGACGCGAAAGCGUGGGGAGCAAACAGGAUUAGAAACCCGUGUAGUCC